UUUCAAACUUCUACCGUAUCA
rnacentral:piRNA from 1 species